CUCCACAGCUUUCAUCUGGUGCUUCUUUUCGUUACUACCUCAUCAACAUUUUGGACACUGAAACCAACAUUUGGGAACAGUUACCAGUUGAAAAAAGCAAGGCUUCCAUAGCAAUAGGAAACUUAAAGCCUUAUCAUCAGUAUCUGGUAUAUUUACAGAAUGUAGCAGAAAAGGGAACUCUAAGCUGCCACGAGAAGCCUAUAUUAAUCACAACAGCUGUGAGUCCACCUACAGCUGUUUACAUUCGCCCAGAGGAUGUACAAGAAGAGAGUGUGAUCCUUCACUGGAAGCUGCCACAAGAGAGUCAGGAAUCCUACAUUCAAGUGAAACCUAAUGCAGAUAUAGGUGACACUAUGAAGUUUAUAGUAAACAAUAUAGAAGAAUUUAAGAUUGAUCUCCUGAUUCCUGGAAUGGCUUAUGAAAUAGCUGUGGCAAGUGUGAAUAAUGGAAAUAUGAGCGAACUGAAGACCAUUCAAUGCACAUUAAGACCCAAGCCUGUUCAAAUUGUCGUUCCUUAUGUGCUAUAUAGCAAUGCUGUGAUAUUAUUUGUUCGCGUGCCUGAUGUUGGAGUAUUUGAUGGCGUAUAUGUUGCAAGUAAAGGAGGAC
rnacentral:lncRNA from 1 species